GUUUGAUCCUGGCUCAGGAUAAACGCUGGCGGCGUGCUUUACACAUGCAAGUCGAACGAGCAUUUCGGUGCGAGUGGCGAAAGGGUGAGUAACGCGUGGGUGACCUGCCCGGAAGUGGGGGAUAACUCCUCGAAAGAGGGGCUAAUACCGCAUACGCUCAGCUGUUACGGCAGUUUGAGGAAUGGUUUUUCGCUUUCGGAGGGGCCUGCGUUCGAUUAGUUAGUUGGUGGGGUAAAGGCCUACCAAGACGAUGAUCGAUAGCUGGUCUGAGAGGACGGCCAGCCACACUGGAACUGAGAAACGGUCCAGACUCCUACGGGAGGCAGCAGUGAGGAAUUUUGCGCAAUGGGCGAAAGCCUGACGCAGCAACGCCGCGUGGGGGAUGAAGGCUCUCGGGUUGUAAACCCCUUUUCUUGGGGAAGAUAAUGACGGUACCCAAGGAAUAAGUCACGGCAAACUACGUGCCAGCAGCCGCGGUAAUACGUAGGUGGCAAGCGUUGUCCGGAUUUACUGGGCGUAAAGCGCGCGUAGGCGGCUUUUUAAGUCUAUGGUGAAAUCUCCUGGCUUAACCAGGAUGGGUCUGUAGAUACUGGAAGGCUUGAGUGUCGCAGAGGAAAGUGGAAUUCCCGGUGGAGUGGUGAAAUGCGUAGAUAUCGGGAGGAACACCAGAGGCGUAAGCGGCUUUCUGGGCGAUUACUGACGCUGAGGCGCGAAAGCGUGGGGAGCAAACCGGAUUAGAUACCCGGGUAGUCCACGCCGUAAACGAUGGGCACUAGGUGUCAUGGGUAUCGACCCCCGUGGUGCCGUAGCUAACGCAUUAAGUGCCCCGCCUGGGGAGUACGGCCGCAAGGCUAAAACUCAAAGGAAUUGACGG
rnacentral:rRNA from 1 species